UCACCGCCGGGAAGCGAUGAUCCUCGAGGGGAGCUGACGGUCGCUCGGAGGAGGCCAAGGCCUCGUCCGCCCGUCGAGGGGAGCUAGUGGCGAGCCCGACCCGGGAGUGC
ncrna:unclassified sequences c-di-GMP-II-GCG riboswitch